GAUGCCAUGGCCGAGUCACCGAGCCGGGACGUGGUGGGAUCCGCAACAGGGAAAAAAAAAGGAAAAAAAAAACAAUGCCAACAGCCCAGCGUCCGUGAGCAACCCAACAGUAACAAAGCAGGUGUUCGGGAUGGAGGAAGAACUACAGCGAGAGGGAAGCAUCGAGACUCUGAGUAACAGCUCCGGUUCUACCAGCGG
rnacentral:lncRNA from 1 species